rnacentral:rRNA from 1 species
UACGGAGGGUGCAACGUUGCUCGGAAUCAUUGGGCGUAAAGCGCACGUAGGCGGACCGCUAAGUCGGAUGUGAAAGCCCUCGGCUUAACCGAGGAAGUGCAUUCGAAACUGACGGUCUUGAGUAUGGAAGAGGGUCGCGGAAUUCCCGGUGUAGAGGUGAAAUUCGUAGAUAUCGGGAGGAACACCAGUGGCGAAGGCGGCGACCUGGGCCAAUACUGACGCUGAGGUGCGAAAGCGUGGGGAGCAAACAGG